UGCCAGCAGCCGCGGUAAUACGGGGGAUGCAAGCGUUAUCCGGAAUGAUUGGGCGUAAAGCGUUUGUAGGUGGCUUCAUAAGUCUAUGCGUUAAAGGGUAGAGCUCAACUCUACUAUGGCCAUAGAAACUAUGAUUAGCUUGAGUGUGGUAGGGGUAGAGGGUAUUCCCGGUGUAGCGGUGAAAUGCGUAGAUAUCGGGAGGAACACCAAUGGCGAAAGCACUUUACUGGGCCAACACUGACACUGAGAGACGAAACCUUAGGUAGCAAAAAGGAUUAGAGACCCUUGUAGUCUAAGGAGUAAACGAUGGAUACUAAGUGUCGUGGAAUUUUAGGAAUCUACGGUUCUGUAGCUAACGCGUUAAGUAUCCCGCCUGGGGAGUACGCUCGCAAGGGUGAAACUCAAAGGAAUUGACGGGGGCCCGCACAAGCGGUGGAGCAUGUGGUUUAAUUCGACAACGCGAAGAACCUUACCAGGGCUUGACAUGUACGUGAUUAAAUUUCGAAAAGAUUAUUUAAGUGUCGGUUCGGCCAUUGGCUUUACCGAAGAGACGUUCACAGGUGGUGCAUGGCUGUCGUCAGCUCGUGUUGUGAAAUGUAGAGUUCAGUCUCGUAACGAGCGCAACCCUUGUCUUUUUGUUGAUUAACGAAAGAGACUGCCGAUGAUUCAUCGGAGGAAGGUGAGGACGACGUCAAGUCAUCAUGCCCCUUACGCCCUGGGCGACACACGUGCUACAAUGGCUGGGACAAUGAGUAGCAACCCCGCGAGGGUGAGCAAACCCCAAAAACCCAGUCUCAGUUCGAAUUGGAGGCUGAAACUCGCCUCCAUGAAGAUGGAAUCGCUAGUAAUCGCCAGUCAGCCAUAUGGCGGUGAAUCCGUUCCCGGGCCUUGUACACACCGCCCGUCACACCAUGGGAGUUUGCCAGACCCAAAGUCGUUACCUUAACUUUUUAAGAGGGGGAUGCCUAAGGUCGGGCAGGUAACUAUGGUGAAGUCGAAACAAGGUAGCCGUACUGGAAGGUGCGGCUGGACAACCUCC
rnacentral:rRNA from 1 species